GGGAAUAUAAUUUAAGUGUUAAAAUAUUAUUUUUGCGUAAUAGUUAUAGCCGUUAAAAUCGGCUUAUUUCCA
rfam:Theileria equi strain WA gcontig_1105316255047 apicoplast, whole genome shotgun sequence.